CCUACGGGUGGCUGCAGUGAGGAAUAUUGGUCAAUGGACGAGAGUCUGAACCAGCCAAGUAGCGUGAAGGAUGACUGCCCUAUGGGUUGUAAACUUCUUUUAUAUGGGAAUAAAACAGGGUAUGCAUACCCUCUUGUAUGUACCAUAUGAAUAAGGAUCGGCUAACUCCGUGCCAGCAGCCGCGGUAAUACGGAGGAUGCGAGCGUUAUCCGGAUUUAUUGGGUUUAAAGGGUGCGUAGGCGGGCUGUUAAGUCAGCGGUAAAAGCCCGGGGCUCAACCCCGGCGAGCCGUUGAAACUGGCUGUCUUGAGAUGUCGAGAGGUAUGCGGAAUGCGCAGUGUAGCGGUGAAAUGCUUAGAUAUUGCGCAGAACUCCGAUUGCGAAGGCAGCAUACCGGCGGCGAUCUGACGCUGAGGCACGAAAGCGUGGGUAUCGAACAGGAUUAGAUACCCGAGUAGUC
rnacentral:rRNA from 1 species